UUUCAGGCUUUUCUUCAUAAAAGCCACUAAUUUUUAGAACAGAAUAUUUU
rfam:TPA: Bos taurus chromosome 12, whole genome shotgun sequence.